UAGCAUUUGGCAAGAGGAGAGGGAAUUGUAAUCGGGAGGGAUUUUCGAAUAAAGAAGAAAAGCACACUGGGAGUUCGUGCAUUAUGUAUAUUGCAGUCUGCAAUGGAUUGAACCAAUUUACUAAUCCAACACUGUUCUGAAUCCAGCAAAAUUCCACUUGUGUUGAUUCACAAGAGGAUACUCAAGUGGAAAUUUUGCACAAGAAGAGAAAAAAAUUUCAAUCAAGCAGUCGUGUAGACAGACAUGCGCCAAGGGCUAAGAAGUCCAGAAUAAGAAAAUAAGACUUGUUCUAAGAUCGUGCAACAUUUGAGAUUGGAAAGCUGAUCCUUUGAUCCAAGAAGUAAUCCAACAGUAGAUUCUUAUCUACGAUAAUCUCAUAACUAAUCAUCAAAGAGCGACGUACUGACUUCAGCACCGCCAAGACAUUAACAGAGUUAGUUUACAGAGUAUUAAGGGGGGCAUCAAUUCCAAAUACAAAGAUCCAAGACAAAGCAGUGAGCUCGGAGAUCGUGCAACAUUCGAGACUGAAAUGACGAUCCACUGAUCCAAGGAGUAAUCCAGCAAUAGAUUCUUAUCUAUGAUCAUUUCAUCGUUAACCAUCAAGGAUUAAUGCACUUCAACAUUAACGAACUUUGGCUACGAAUACUUUAGGGAUCAUUUUCAAAGACGAAGAUCCAAGAUGAAGAGGUGAUCUACUUCAGGCUCAACAUUUAAGUGAAGUCAUUUCUGCAAAAUGGAUUGUCUUGUAAUGUGAAAGCUUUUAUUUCUGGUGAAAUUAUUCUACGAUAUCCAUCGUUGGGAUCAA